rnacentral:rRNA from 1 species
UACGGGGGGAGCAAGCGUUGUUCGGAUUUACUGGGCGUAAAGGGCAUGCAGGCGGUCGGACGCGUUUCGGGUGACAGCGGGUGGCUUAACUACCCGAGUGGUCGAAAGACGGUUUGACUUGAGGACGCGAGAGGGACACGGAAUUCCGGGUGGAGUGGUGAAAUUCGUAGAUAUUGGGAAGAACACCGGUGGCGAAGGCGGCGCUCUGGACCGAGACUGACGCUGAGGCGGCGAAAGCGUGGGGAGCAAACAGG